rnacentral:rRNA from 1 species
GGGGAAUAUUGGACAAUGGGCGCAAGCCUGAUCCAGCCAUGCCGCGUGGGUGAAGAAGGCCUUCGGGUUGUAAAGCCCUUUUGUUGGGAAAGAAAAGCAGCCGGCCAAUACCCGGUUGUUCUGACGGUACCCAAAGAAUAAGCACCGGCUAACUUCGUGCCAGCAGCCGCGGUAAUACGAAGGGUGCAAGCGUUAUCCGGAUUUAUUGGGUUUAAAGGGAGCGUAGGCGGACUAUUAAGUCAGCUGUGAAAGUUUACGGCUCAACCGUGAAAUUGCAGUUGAAACUGGUCGUCUUGAGUGCAGUAAAGGUGGGCGGAAUUCGUGGUGUAGCGGUGAAAUGCUUAGAUAUCACGAAGAACUCCAAUUGCGAAGGCAGCUCACUGGAGUGUAACUGACGCUGAUGCUCGAAAGUGUGGGUAUCAAACA